UCUUCCUUCUCACUCCCUGUGGACUGGAUUCCGUGUAUGAGUGGUCUCCCGGCAACACGGAGAGCCCAUCUGUUUACUACAAAGAUUUGCCAAAAAGGAUGGCUGCCACUGAGUGGUGUAGGUCUGCACCUGGGAGCUGAACCUGGGCCACUGAAGCAGAGUGCGCCGAACCCAACCAGUAGGCCAAGGGGCCAGCCCCCAACUGGCCAGAAGCUUUGAGAACUCCUCCUACAAUGAUUUUCUAUUUGCUUAUUUCCUCUACCAUGCUGAAUACAAUGUAUUACACAGAGGCUACUCUGACAGCCUGGCAUAAGGUUGAGGUAGAGCAGAGCUGCAACUGGACCUUGAUGGACAUGGAGCCAAGCAAGAAAUGCCCUUUGGGUUGUAAGCAACUGAGAUUUUUAAGUCUCUUGUUACUACAGAACAGCAUAAUCCAUGCUGAUUGAUACAAGAAUUAACACAGCUGAUCUACUUCCUUUCUCUUUUCCUGCCGGCUGGGACCCAUAUGUGAUGAUAGGAGCAGGAGCAGCCACCUUGGAGUCAAAGAUGAAAGUCAUGUCUGGAGGAUGAUGUCAUCUGACCUCUGAUCUGUUACAAGAUAGCACUUUGUUCAUGCGAUUGUGUUUUGAAAUUUGUUUGGAGGUUUGUUAGAGUGCCUUAGACUGUACCCUGAUGCAAUGUCCCUCAAUGCUCAAUUCAAAUGGCAUGUACUCUGGGAAGAUUUCCAGAUUUCCACCUCCUUUGGUCAUAUACCAAUCAGGACUGAUCACUCUUAUCCCAGUGCUCUCUGUAUUUUGAAAAUAUUUUUAUCACCACUUAUAAUCCUCUAGUUUUAUUAUAGUGAUUUUAAUUUAGUAUCAGUUGCCCAACAUAGAAGCCUUACCUAUGCUACUGCCUAAGCUGGGCACCCCUGUCCUGUGCUCUCAUAACACCCUGUACGUCUAUCCAACAACUAUACUUAAAUUUACUUUUUUAGUAUUUAUCUUCCUACUGUCCUGUAUAAGCUCCACAUGGACAGAACCUUGGCUGCCUUUCCGGUAACUGUAUCUCCAGCUCCCACAGGAAAUCUGGGACAUAACAGGCACAUAGCAAAUGUUUGUUGGAUAAACAAAUGAUCUCCUUAAAGUAUGGAUUACUUAUAUUUGUAGUCCAUUCAUUGCUAAACUCAGUAUCUGGCACCUCUUAGGCGCUAAUAAAUGUAGAAUGAGUCAGACUGGGUUUGAAUGGGAUGGUACUGGAUAACGUGGAAUGGGCUUAGAAUAUCAGUU
rnacentral:lncRNA from 1 species